UACGAAGGGGGCUAGCGUUGCUCGGAUUGACUGGGCGUAAAGGGCGCGUAGGCGGUUCGUACAGUCAGACGUGAAAUUCCUGGGCUCAACCUGGGGGCUGCGUUUGAUACGUGCGGGCUUGAGUUCGGAAGAGGGUCGUGGAAUUCCCAGUGUAGAGGUGAAAUUCGUAGAUAUUGGGAAGAACACCGGUGGCGAAGGCGGCGACCUGGUCCGAUACUGACGCCGAGGCGCGAAAGCGUGGGGAGCAAACAGG
rnacentral:rRNA from 1 species